rnacentral:rRNA from 1 species
GCCGCGUGAGUGAAGAAGGCCUUCGGGUUGUAAAGCUCUUUCAUCAAUGAUGAUAAUGACAUUAGUUGAAGAAGAAGCCCCGGCUAACUUCGUGCCAGCAGCCGCGGUAAUACGAAGGGGGCUAGCGUUGUUCGGAAUCACUGGGCGUAAAGCGUAUGUAGGCGGAUCAAAAAGUUAGAUGUGAAAUCCCUGGGCUCAACCCAGGAACUGCAUUUAAAACUAGUGAUCUAGAAUUUGGUAGGGGCCAGUAGAAUUUCCAGUGUAGAGGUGAAAUUCGUAGAUAUUGGAAAGAAUACCAGUGGCGAAGGCGACUGGCUGGGCCAUUUUUGACGCUGAGAUACGAAAGCGUGGGUAGCAAACAGGAUUAGAUACCCUGGUAGUCCACGCAGUAAACGAUGAGUGCUAGUCGCUGGGACAAUAGUUUCAGUGUCGAAGCUAACGCAUUAAGCACUCCGCCUGGGAAGUACGGUCGCAAGAUUAAAACUCAAAUAAAUUGACGGGGGCCCGCACAAGCGGUGGAGCAUGUGGUUUAAUUCGAAGCAACGCGAAGAACCUUACCAGACCUUGACAUGGUAUGUAUGAGUUACAGAAUCGUAACUCUUCAGUUCGGCUGGCAUACACACAGGUGCUGCAUGGCUGUCGUCAGCUCGUGUCGUGAGAUGUUGGG